CAGGAGGUGUAUGAAGAAAGGUGGAAGAAAAAGUUCGAAGAACACUCAAUAUGGUAUGACCAUAGGCUAAUUGAUGACAUGGUGGCGUAUGCACUCAAGAGUGAAGGUGGAUAUGUUUGGGCUUGCAAGAAUUAUGAUGAUGAUGUCCAAAGUGAAUUACUUGCUCAAGCUAUCUUCUUAUGGCAAGACAUUGGAAGCUGAGGCAGCUCAUGGAACUAUAACUCGACAUUUUUAGUUUCAUCAAAAGGGACAAGAAACUAGUACGAACAGUAUUGCUUCCAUAUUUGCGUGGAUACGAGGACUACAACAUAGGUAGGUUGUUUCUAGAUUUAAGCUGGUGCAAUUUGAUGUUCUUUGAAAGACUUGGAUGAGGAUUGAACAUGUUAUCUAGUCAAAACAGAGCAAUUUGUCAAGGAAAUG